AGUGAACGCUGGCGGUAGGCCUAACACAUGCAAGUCGAACGGCAGCACAGGAGAGCUUGCUCUCUGGGUGGCGAGUGGCGGACGGGUGAGGAAUACAUCGGAAUCUACUCUGUCGUGGGGGAUAACGUAGGGAAACUUACGCUAAUACCGCAUACGACCUACGGGUGAAAGCAGGGGAUCUUCGGACCUGGUGCGAUUGAAUGAGCCGAUGUCGGAUUAGCUAGUUGGCGGGGUAAAGGCCCACCAAGGCGACGAUCCGUAGCUGGUCUGAGAGGAUGAUCAGCCACACUGGAACUGAGACACGGUCCAGACUCCUACGGGAGGCAGCAGUGGGGAAUAUUGGACAAUGGGCGCAAGCCUGAUCCAGCCAUACCGCGUGGGUGAAGAAGGCCUUCGGGUUGUAAAGCCCUUUUGUUGGGAAAGAAAUCCAGCUGGCUAAUACCCGGUUGGGAUGACGGUACCCAAAGAAUAAGCACCGGCUAACUUCGUGCCAGCAGCCGCCGUAA
rnacentral:rRNA from 1 species